AUUUGACUUAGUGGCGGACGGGUGAGUAAUGCAUGAGCAACCUGCCCUGCAGUGGGGGACAACAGUUGGAAACGACUGCUAAUACCGCAUGAUGUAUCUGGAAGGCAUCUUCCGGAUACCAAAGAUUUAUCGCUGUGGGAUGGGCUCAUGUCUGAUUAGUUAGUUGGUGAGGUAACGGCCCACCAAGGCGACGAUCAGUAGCCGACCUGAGAGGGUGAUCGGCCACAUUGGGACUGAGACACGGUCCAGACUCC
rnacentral:rRNA from 1 species